rnacentral:rRNA from 1 species
UAAGGUCUGACCUGCCCACUGAAAUUAUUUUAAAUGGCCGCAGUAAUUUGACUGUGCAAAGGUAGCAUAAUCAUUAGUUUUUUAAUUAAAAGCUUGUAUGAAGGGUUGGACGAGAUAAAAUCUGUCUCUAUUUAAUUUAUUAUAAAAUUUAAUUUUUAAGUUAAAAAGCUUAAAUUUUUUUAAAAGACGAGAAGACCCUAUAGAUCUUUAUAGUUUUGAUUUUGAGUUUAAUUAAUAAAUUUUUAUGAUUUAUAAUUUAAACUAUUUUAUUGGGGUAAUAGAAAGAUUAAAAUAAUUCUUUUUUUCUUUAAACAUUUAUUUAUGUUUUUAAUGAUCCAAUUUUAUUGAUUAUAAGAUUAAGUUACCUUAGGGAUAACAGCGUAAUUUUUUUAGAGAGUUCUUAUCGAUAAAAAAGUUUGCGACCUCGAUGUUGGAUUAAAGAUUAGUUUAGGUGUAGAAGUUUAAAUUUUUGGUCUGUUCGACCAUUAAAUCUUUACAUGAUCUGAGUUCAGACCGGCGUAAGCCAGGUCGGUUUCUAUCUUUAAUAAUUUUAAAAUAUUUUAGUACGAAAGGACCAAAUAUUUAAUAUAUUUAUAUUUAAUUUUUUGAAUAUUAUU